rnacentral:rRNA from 1 species
GAUGAACGCUGGCGGCGUGCCUAAUACAUGCAAGUCGAGCGAACAGACGAGGAGCUUGCUCCUUCGACGUUAGCGGCGGACGGGUGAGUAACACGUAGGUAACCUACCUAUAAGACUGGGGUAACUUCGGGAAACCGGAGCUAAUACCGGAUAAUAUUUCGAACCGCAUGGUUCGAUAGUGAAAGAUGGCUUUGCUAUCACUUAUAGAUGGACCUGCGCCGUAUUAGCUAUUUGGUAAGGUAACGGCUUACCAAGGCAACGAUACGUAGCCGACCUGAGAGGGUGAUCGGCCACACUGGAACUGAGACACGGUCCAGACUCCUACGGGAGGCAGCAGUAGGGAAUCUUCCGCAAUGGGCGAAAGCCUGACGGAGCAACGCCGCGUGAGUAAUGAAGGUCUUCGGAUCGUAAAACUCUGUUAUUAGGGAAGAACAAACGUGUAAGUAACUGUGCACGUCUUGACGGUACCUAAUCAGAAAGCCACGGCUAACUACGUG